AAAUUAACCCUGCAUUUCAAUGCACUUAAAUUUUUCUGAGUCAUAAACAUGUAUGUUGGGUGUCUGAAAGCAUCAUUCUUUUUUUAUUUGAUGGUCUUAUAAAAUAUUUUGGAAAGUUAAGGUUACAUAGUUACCAAAGCAGGUAACCAGUAAAUAAUCUGGUAAAAAUUUGGUUGUUUACUUCCGGUGCAGGUUACUUUCUUAUAUGCAAUGAAAUGUAGUGUGAAAUUUUCACUGUAGCACUGGAAAGGAUUAAACUUUAUUCAUGCAAAGUAUUUCUUUGGUUGAAAUAAAGUGUUAACCAUGAUGUGACAAGCAUUCUGUUGAAAAAUCUUAUAUGUGAACUGGUCUGCAGAUGACACUUUAGCAUUGAGGCAAAAGAUACCAAGUUUUGAUGAAAAAAGAAGGAAGAAGGAAAAAUGGACCAAAAACAGACCAAAACAGACCUUCAAAUGAACUCUAAAAGUGUUAACCAUGAUGUGACAAGCAUUCUGUUGAAAAAUCUUAUAUGUGAACUGGUCUGCAGAUGACACUUUAGCAUUGAGGCAAAAGAUACCAAGUUUUGAUGAAAAAAGAAGGAAGAAGGAAAAAUGGACCAAAAACAGACCAAAACAGACCUUCAAAUGAACUCUAAAAGGUGCAAUAAAAUUGUAUAUCAUCUUAAA